rnacentral:tRNA from 1 species
GUUUCCGUAGUGUAGUGGUCAUCACGUUUGCCUAACAUGCAAAAGGUCCACAGUUCGAAACUUGGCGGAAACA